AAAGGAAGUAGGAGCGGAUAUUAGAUACAGGCAGAUCACAAUACAGGAUGCAUUAAACCAUAGACAUUUUACUGGGUUGGAGAUGAGUCUCAAGUAUCAAUCAAUUCUCUAAAGGACCAAGUUUAAUUGUGUUUAACAGGUCCAUGUUAAACUUGUCAGCUCUAUUCUGUGGUUCAGUUUCAACCAAACAAGGAAGGGCAUCGAUGCAAUGAAGAUGAAACUGUUCUGUUGGCAUUCGAGGCGAGUUUGAGAGAGUAUUCGUUUUUGGUCAGUUCUCCCUUUAAGGACACACUGAACAAGACUCCAGUGUUUAUGUCUGUUCUUCUGAGUUAAAUUUCUUCUUAUUUCUUUGUCGUAUAAACAUUUGUUCCACAUCAGUUUCUCUUAAUUAGUUAAUGAACAGAAAUGAAGAAGAAACAAGGAAGUCCUUUGUGUACCAUGCUAACUAGACUUUGAACAAAAUACAUGACUCAGCAUGAGAUGACAAAACUGUAUCUACAGCAAUCAUAAAACAAUAAACGACGAUUCUAGAAAACACUACUGCAUUUAUAUUUUAGGAAAAGGCCGAGUGAUGUUCAUGAACUUGAGCACAUGUUGCUGAUGUAUGACACGUGCAUAUUGAGCAACUGUGGUAAUUUCGGUGGCUGACAACUAACUAACCACACUCAUUUCCGUAAAACUUGUUCUUUAGUUUCGUUUUAAAGACCUGGUCCAUCCUUUUUUAUUAACAAGAGGUAGAUUAAUGUGGACCAGUUCAUAUGGUUGAAGUCAUGAUCCUUCAGUUCUUAUAAAAACAAAGUAAAAACCUUCAUACAAUUGGCAUUUGCAUUACUCAGCUUCUGAAGAAACACGAGCUAAAGCUCUCCAGAGACCCAGAGUGUGAAUCCGGAGAAAUCCAAGACUGAUGGGAGCUCAUAAUGUGGUAUUACUUGAAGCAUACCUGCCCUUUCCAUUGAGAAGACUUCACACACCCUGCAAAAUGUCGCCCGUAUCUGAAGGCUACUGUGGCAACCUUGUGUCCUCGUGUUCGGUCUGAUGAGGAUCAAAAUGAAAGAUGAUUCAGCCAACAAUCCCCUAGUUCGAAUAACAGGCACUGAGCUGAGCUGAUUAGGUGGGUGACUUACAGUGACGGAGGUGACUUCCCACUUCCUACUCACUCUCUCUCCGUCUCGCUCUAUCUUUGAGGAAGAACCACUGCAGAGAUGCUUGAAUCCAUCUCUUACUGAUUUGCUUGCUGAAAUUGGAGAGAUGUGGAGGUGGUGAAUUUGCUCCACACCCCCCAAUCUGCCUGUCAGAGGGAUGUUGAAAAAUAUUCGAUGGAGAAAGAUAUGAAAUGAAGGGUAUCUUACGUGUCUUUGCUGAUGCUCUUCGGAGGACGCUUCGCUGGAGAUGACAGCCCGUCUUCUUCUCGCCAUGUGCUGUAACAAAAGCAUCCCAUGCAUCUGAUGCCUGUCCCUUUAAAGCCUUGCUGCAUCCCUGCAGGUGGCCUGUCAAUUUAGCGGAUCUGAAUGACGUCACCGCAUGGCUGAAAAAGCUGAUGUGACAAACCCAGGAUGCUGAUCUCCAAGCUCAUUAAAUGGACACCUAAUGACGGUUUGUCCUCAGUAAGUGAGAUCGAUGUGAGUCCUCAGUGUGUGCCGAGGAAGUGAAGAUGUUACGCAAUUGGAGAAGACACUGAUGAGUCCGCAGAGGAGGACAUUAGAUCAGUAGUUCAUGUGUCCAUCACCUUACAACUGAUCUAGAAUGAAGAAAGUACAUCCUGCUUUACAUUUUGGUGGCUUUAUGUCCAAACGGAUGUAGCAGGACUGUACACUUUUCCUCUAAAAAUCAGAAGGCUGCUUGUACGACAGAGGUCAUCGUGUAGGUACUGUCAUCUGUUUAUUUGAUUUAGCAAGGAAGCAAUUUUAAAACAGAAUCCCUGAUUCUUUUUUGCACACGCUGAUCACAGAUUUGAAGUGCAUGGUUGUUAAGAGGGUUUGUAAACAAUACUGUAGCGGUAUCAUUCGAUCUUAAGAGUAAAUAUGAGAUGUGAACACUUAACAAAGAGCAUGUCUGAAAGGGCACAAGUGUUUGGAGAUUUGUGUCCUCCAUAAUCACUAUUAAUUUGUAUUUUUGCUGUCACGCCACACAAAUGACAUGUGGGUAAUUAGGACCAAAUUAAGAGGGUAUUUAUCAUGGAGAUUGCAAUCAAUUAAUUAAAACCAAUAAUCUCAAUAUGCACAAAUUGGCAUUUGGUAUACAAUGUAAUUGUCAAACUGCAUGCAUGGAAAACCAGGGACAAUUUGAGAUCCAAUUUGUUGCAGGGAUAAAAGUGCCUUCUUAAAAAUUAUAAAAGGGUC